CUAAACCCAUACACAGUGAAGAAGAACCUUCUGGACAUGUGUUGACUUUUCCUUUGGCUCUCCAGAGUGUCGAAGGAGGGAGGGAGAAGAGGACCCUACAGCCCACAGGAAAGCAGCCCCCUUUGCGGGUUUCUUGAUUUUACUACCACAUAGCUGAAUUCCCACGAUUCAUCGUCUCUAUCCUCAAAACACUCAUUAUUGUCUACAUUCUUGCAUCGCAAGUCGUUCCUAUCCGCCCCCCAACCUUAUAUAUAUAGAAAAGAAAAAGAAUACUCUCACAUCAGCUCCCAAGGUCUACAUACAUAUCAAGAUUGAAACAAAGAUCGUUUCUUGGGUGGGUUUCGUUUUGCCCAGAAUCCCGUUCAGAUGCUGCAUUUGUUCUUUGCGGUGGCGUUUUCUGCAGUCCCAUUGACUCUCUACAUUCCUCCACUCAGAAGUUUGAAUCUUUUCGUGGAGACGGUGGAGGGUGUGUGGAAGGAGUCAAGCGCACAUACUGUUAGAAUGUAUCCUCGCUUGAGAAGGGCAGUCCCUUGAAGCUCUAUACACACUGGUCUUUAAGAAGGAAAAGCAGUAUAUGUAGAACCAGUCUAUAACAUAGUAGGCACCAUUCAACUGCAUCAAGUCCAUGUUACUGUGUUACGGUAUGAGAAACUUCACUUUGUCCUCCCCUGUUUCCCUUGGAACUCUUUUCUAGACUCGGUUCUUGUAAUGGCUUCCUUUCCUUCUCUUCAUCAUCCAUGCCAUAACUAGCCUCCUGCUCUUCUACAUU